UACGUAGGGUGCGAGCGUUGUCCGGAAUUAUUGGGCGUAAAGAGCUUGUAGGCGGUUUGUCGCGUCUGCUGUGAAAAUCAGGGGCUCAACCCCGGACUUGCAGUGGGUACGGGCAGACUAGAGUGUGGUAGGGGAGACUGGAAUUCCUGGUGUAGCGGUGAAAUGCGCAGAUAUCAGGAGGAACACCGAUGGCGAAGGCAGGUCUCUGGGCCACUACUGACGCUGAGAAGCGAAAGCAUGGGGAGCGAACAGG
rnacentral:rRNA from 1 species